GCUGAACAUCUGUUGUGAACGUACUAACGCCGUGUUCAGAGCCAACUAGAGGAGUUUUUAGGAUAGUGCACAGUUCUGUAGAACAAGAAAAAUGAAACUGUAUAUCGCCGUCUGCUUUGCAAUUAUAACACAAAUGCACUUCAGCGUUCCCGCAUGUGUAGACAUUGAAGUGGACGGCCCGUUUUAUGCCGGAGGCCGCGACGCAGGUAUGCCGUUGGUGGGUAUGCUAACAGGCGUCGGCGGUAACCGACCGAGGCCUCCGAAUCGAGUUGGGUCCGACGAAGCGGUGUCUCCUGUACGGUGAUAACGGCCGCUGUGUCUAUUGGUCGGGAAAUGGAUAAUUUUGUUUGGUUUUAGAAUAAUUGUUUUGUUCGGUUUAUGUUCAAUUCAGUUCUGAUGCGCCUUUUUUCUAUUGUCUUUCCUCUUUUUUUCUUGGAUUUGCUUUGUUCGUCCUGUUUAUUUCAUUUCGUUUGUAAUUUCACUACUGAUUUUUUUUUCUUAGUUUUUAGUUGUAGUUUACAUUUAGUUCAGUUCAGAUUUUGUAAAUUUCAAAACAUAUUGGUUAACAGUUUGUGUUCCGUUCAUUUCAAAUCAGCCUUUUGAAUUCCCAUUCAGAUUAAUGUUUCAUUUUAAUUCAAUUCAGUUUGGAUUCGUUUCUUUGUCGUUUAAGUUAGUAAAUUUCCUUUUAAAGUUCAUCUCAGUAAUUCGUUUGGUUCCACUUGGAUCACUUCUGAGAAAUGUGCAAUUGCUCCAAAACUUUAUCAAGGAAGAAAUGUUUUCCUUCUCUCAAUAUGAACACGAUGUGUCCAUUUUGUGUGUUUUAUAACCUGUUAUUCUAAAUAAAUAUUUACCUGUUC